rfam:Hymenolepis nana genome assembly, scaffold: HNAJ_scaffold0002741
GGCUCAGUGGUCUAGAGGUAUGAUUCUCGAUUUGGGUGGGAGAGGUCCCGGGUACAAAUCCCGGCUGAGCCC